AGAGAGAGACAUGCGCGCAUAUCAAUAAGCGGAGGAAAAGAAACUAACAAGGAUUCCCUUAGUAACGGCGAGUGAAGCGGGAAGAGCUCAAAUUUGAAAUCUUCGAGGUUCUACCUUGACGAAUUGUAGUUUAUAGAAGUGUUUUCUGUUAGUGGAGUGGCAAAAGUUCUUUGGAAUAGGACAUCAUAGAGGGUGAGAAUCCCGUAUUUGGUCAUUCCUCCUAGCGUUGUGAUACACUUUCAACGAGUCGGAUUGUUUGGGAAUGUAGUCCAAAAUGGGUGGUAAAUUUCAUCUAAAGCUAAAUAUUGGCGAGAGACCGAUAGCGAACAAGUACCGUGAGGGAAAGAUGAAAAGAACUUUGAAAAGAGAGUUAAACAGUACGUGAAAUUGUCAAAAGGGAAGCGUUUGACACCAGUGUUGUUUUUCCGAAAAUCAAUUACGAAUGUUUUAUUUUUGAGGAGUUAUGACUUCAUCGGCUUGCUCCUUUCUUUAUGAAACUUUCUUAAUGCACUUUUCGGUUAACAAGUCAACAUCAAUUUCUUUUGUUGUAAAAGGGUAAGAGGAAGGUGGCUUGCGCUUCGGCUCAAGUGUUUAUAGCCUUUUAUCUCUGCAAUCGGAGAGAUUGAGGUCUGCAGCGUAGAUCCUUCGGGGUUAGAUACAUUGGUGCUAAGCUAUAGCCUUGUAUAGACAACUUGUUGACUAUGCUCAGUCAUGUAGCUUACUCGCUGAUGCUAUUUUACCUACGCUUAGGAUGUUGAUAGUCACAGCGUGUAC
rnacentral:rRNA from 1 species